rnacentral:tRNA from 1 species
GAGGGUAUAGCUCGGUGGUAGAGCACAUGCUUAGCAUGCAUGAGGUCCUGGGUUCAAACCCCAGUGCCUCCA